rnacentral:tRNA from 1 species
UCCCGGGUCGUCUAACCAGGCAGGACGAGAAUUUUUGGUGUUCUUUGUAGGGGUUCGAAUCCUCUCCCGGGAGCCA